rnacentral:rRNA from 1 species
UGAAGUCGAGCGGAUGAAGGGAGCUUGCUCCUGGAUUCAGCGGCGGACGGGUGAGUAAUGCCUAGGAAUCUGCCUGGUAGUGGGGGAUAACGUCCGGAAACGGGCGCUAAUACCGCAUACGUCCUGAGGGAGAAAGUGGGGGAUCUUCGGACCUCACGCUAUCAGAUGAGCCUAGGUCGGAUUAGCUAGUUGGUGGGGUAAAGGCCUACCAAGGCGACGAUCCGUAACUGGUCUGAGAGGAUGAUCAGUCACACUGGAACUGAGACACGGUCCAGACUCCUACGGGAGGCAGCAGUGGGGAAUAUUGGACAAUGGGCGAAAGCCUGAUCCAGCCAUGCCGCGUGUGUGAAGAAGGUCUUCGGAUUGUAAAGCACUUUAAGUUGGGAGGAAGGGCAGUAAGUUAAUACCUUGCUGUUUUGACGUUACCAACAGAAUAAGCACCGGCUAACUUCGUGCCAGCAGCCGCGGUAAUACGAAGGGUGCAAGCGUUAAUCGGAAUUACUGGGCGUAAAGCGCGCGUAGGUGGUUCAGCAAGUUGGAUGUGAAAUCCCCGGGCUCAACCUGGGAACUGCAUCCAAAACUACUGAGCUAGAGUACGGUAGAGGGUGGUGGAAUUUCCUGUGUAGCGGUGAAAUGCGUAGAUAUAGGAAGGAACACCAGUGGCGAAGGCGACCACCUGGACUGAUACUGACACUGAGGUGCGAAAGCGUGGGGAG